rnacentral:rRNA from 1 species
GCUGAACGCUGGCGGCGUGCUUAACACAUGCAAGUCGAACGGUGAAGCCAAGCUUGCUUGGUGGAUCAGUGGCGAACGGGUGAGUAACACGUGAGCAACCUGCCCUGGACUCUGGGAUAAGCGCUGGAAACGGCGUCUAAUACUGGAUAUGAGCUCUCAUCGCAUGGUGGGGGUUGGAAAGAUUUUUCGGUCUGGGAUGGGCUCGCGGCCUAUCAGCUUGUUGGUGAGGUAAUGGCUCACCAAGGCGUCGACGGGUAGCCGGCCUGAGAGGGUGACCGGCCACACUGGGACUGAGACACGGCCCAGACUCCUACGGGAGGCAGCAGUGGGGAAUAUUGCACAAUGGGCGGAAGCCUGAUGCAGCAACGCCGCGUGAGGGAUGACGGCCUUCGGGUUGUAAACCUCUUUUAGCAGGGAAGAAGCGAGAGUGACGGUACCUGCAGAAAAAGCGCCGGCUAACUACGUGCCAGCAGCCGCGGUAAUACGUAGGGCGCAAGCGUUAUCCGGAAUUAUUGGGCGUAAAGAGCUCGUAGGCGGUUUGUCGCGUCUGCUGUGAAAUCCCGAGGCUCAACCUCGGGCCUGCAGUGGGUACGGGCAGACUAGAGUGCGGUAGGGGAGAUUGGAAUUCCUGGUGUAGCGGUGGAAUGCGCAGAUAUCAGGAGGAACACCGAUGGCGAAGGCAGAUCUCUGGGCCGUAACUGACGCUGAGGAGCGAAAGGGUGGGGAGCAAACAGGCUUAGAUACCCUGGUAGUCCACCCCGUAAACGUUGGGAACUAGUUGUGGGGACCAUUCCACGGUUUCCGUGACGCAGCUAACGCAUUAAGUUCCCCGCCUGGGGAGUACGGCCGCAAGGCUAAAACUCAAAGGAAUUGACGGGGACCCGCACAAGCGGCGGAGCAUGCGGAUUAAUUCGAUGCAACGCGAAGAACCUUACCAAGGCUUGACAUACACCAGAACACCGUAGAAAUACGGGACUCUUUGGACACUGGUGAACAGGUGGUGCAUGGUUGUCGUCAGCUCGUGUCGUGAGAUGUUGGGUUAAGUCCCGCAACGAGCGCAACCCUCGUUCUAUGUUGCCAGCACGUAAUGGUGGGAACUCAUGGGAUACUGCCGGGGUCAACUCGGAGGAAGGUGGGGAUGACGUCAAAUCAUCAUGCCCCUUAUGUCUUGGGCUUCACGCAUGCUACAAUGGCCGGUACAAAGGGCUGCAAUACCGUGAGGUGGAGCGAAUCCCAAAAAGCCGGUCCCAGUUCGGAUUGAGGUCUGCAACUCGACCUCAUGAAGUCGGAGUCGCUAGUAAUCGCAGAUCAGCAACGCUGCGGUGAAUACGUUCCCGGGUCUUGUACACACCGCCCGUCAAGUCAUGAAAGUCGGUAACACCUGAAGCCGGUGGCCCAACCCUUGUGGAGGGAGCCGUCGAAGGUGGGAUCGGUAAUUAGGACUAAGUCGUAACAAGGUAGCCGUACCGGAAGG